CUCAAAAACCUUUGUAGUCUAAAUUAGAUUUAAACACAGUCAUCUGAAUAGCUAGAUACUGUUAGAGGAAGAAAUAUGGAACAAAUACUAAAUGUAUAUAUAUGUAUAUAUAAAUAUUUUCCAUUUGAAAUGGGUUACUUGUUAGGUAAACUAAAUAGUUGAAAUGUAACUUUAAUUUUGAUUGAGCUCUAGAUCUGUGCAGGUGAGCAGCCAAUCGAGCGUAAUUAGGUCAAGCUGACUCCGCCCACCGAGAGAUGCGGCAUUAGAGAGAGAGAAAAAAACUUGAGAAACAACGUGAAUUAGAAGCUGCGUAAGAUCUUGAUUUAUUUCAUUUUGAGAGAGAACGCAUGUGAAAACCAAACAUUUGGAGUAGGCCAUCAUUGCGUCAUCCGAGAGAAACCUGGAAAAAAACAGAGAAAUAUCAUUAAUACACGAGGGAAUCGGCCAGUUUUGUUAUUUUAGAAAUCUAGAAUCUGGAUUUUUUCAAUUCAUGAAGAUGGCGAGCCAACCGUAAAUCGAUCAGAAACAACUAUCCUUUGUCUUUUUGGACAUCUGUAUCACUUCACUUUCGGCAGGACAUCGCGUCGGAUUUUUUUCUUUUGAGGUUUGAAACAUCUGACAUUUUCAUUUUUCCUUUUGAGCAUUGGAUCACUGAUUUAAAGGAACUGAGGAGACAAUAUCAUUCUUUAUUGUUCAGACUGACAUUUUGUUUGAACUGUGCAUUCAAGAAUUACUGAUACUGCAUUGAUACGCAUUCAUUUAGACUUUGUUUCGUAUAAACAAGUGUUUACAGUGGACAUUUGUACGUGUGACUAAACACAAGUCCUGACAUUCG